CAGCAGCCGCGGUAAUACGGAGGGUGCAAGCGUUAAUCGGAAUUACUGGGCGUAAAGCGCACGCAGGCGGUCUGUCAAGUCAGAUGUGAAAUCCCCGGGCUUAACCUGGGAACUGCAUUUGAAACUGGCAGGCUAGAGUCUUGUAGAGGGGGGUAGAAUUCCAGGUGUAGCGGUGAAAUGCGUAGAGAUCUGGAGGAAUACCGGUGGCGAAGGCGGCCCCCUGGACAAAGACUGACGCUCAGGUGCGAAAGCGUGGGGAGCAAACAGGAUUAGAUACCCCUGUAGUCCCUGUCUCUUAUAU
rnacentral:rRNA from 1 species